CUCCGUCAUGAGCCCGACUGCGCCUCCUCCCACCGCCUUUCCAUCCGACGUCGGCAAGCUGGUUGCGGCGGGCCCGCUUUUGCUGGCCUACAGCGGCGAAUCGGCCACCCGAUCUGGGCGUCGAUGAUGCCGCUGCCUCUGCUCCCCUCUUCCUGGUGCAGGGCGAAGACGCAAUGGUGGUGGCGAACGUGCGGUUUAUGGGACUCGCGGCUUCGCAGGGCGUGACGGAGCCUCUGCUCGCAUCCUCAUUCGACGUCGUGCUCUGGGGCAAGGGGCUCCCGGAGUCCGUGCUCGCCGCCGCUGGUAAGACAGUCCUCCAUGUCUAUCCCAGUCUGUUCUACGGCUCCCUCUAUUCCUCCAUCCUGCUCUCCUCCUUCCUGUCCUUCCUCUCCCUGACCCUUCUCCGUCUUCAUUGACCGCGGUGGCGGCGGCGGCGGCCGGCUCCUAUUCGUACACCGUCGUCGAUCUACACCGCCGCGGCGUGUACUCGGAUUUCGCGACCUUGCCGACCAGCCCUUAUGCUGCCCCCUUGGACUCUGAUCAGCAUCCCAUUCACGGAUAGGAAUUUGGAAGGGGAAAGAGAGAUAUAUGUCCAUUUAACUUCACAGUGCUCAGUGAAAUUAUUAUGGAGUGACUAAGACUACAAUACAAGCAAGCUCACCAAUGACCAAACUGCGAAGGCAUUCUAAUUAAUCUGAGCAAGAUCUCACUGUUGGAUCUGCGAAAAAAAAAACACAGUUUCUCCUCUAAUAAAGGGUGUGCCUGGACAAGUCAACAAGAAUAACCAAACAGCUUAAGGUAUUCUAAGAGAAAUCAAUGUACGGUUCGUUCUUCACUGGAUUCAUACAACUGCAUCGGCCCAUGCUUGAAGAUCUAACUUCAUUUGAUUGCUGCGCAUUUUCUCUGUUAGUACUCCACCUCUAUUAUGCUUCCUCAUAUACUCUUGUGUCUCUAUUGAUCUAAUGAAAGGCUGCAGAUUCAUGUAUUGGUUGAUUCGUCUUUCAUGGGA